rnacentral:rRNA from 1 species
CAAAAACAUGUCCUUUUGAAUUUUUUUUAAGGUUUGACCUGCCCACUGAUGUAUUAAAUGGCCGCAGUAUAUUAACUGUGCAAAGGUAGCAUAAUCAUUAGUCUUUUAAUUGGAGGCUAGAAUGAAUGGUUGGACGAGAUAUUGGCUGUUUCAUAUAAAUUUAAGAUAGAAUUUUAUUUUUUAGUAAAAAAGCUAAAAUAUUCUUAAAAGACGAGAAGACCCUAUAAAUCUUUAUAUUUAGGUUUUUAUAAUUAUGUAGAAAUUUUUAGUUAUAAUUAUUAGUAAUAUUUUAUUGGGGUGAUAUUAAAAUUUAAUUAACUUUUAAAUUGAAAGAAUCAUUAAUUUAUGAGGAAUUGAUCCGUUAAUAGCGAUUAAUAAUUUAAGUUACUUUAGGGAUAACAGCGUAAUUUUUUUGGAGAGUUCUUAUCGAUAAAAAAGAUUGCGACCUCGAUGUUGGAUUAAGAUAUAGGUUUAGGUGUAGUAGUUUAAGCUUUAAGUCUGUUCGACUUUUAAAAUCUUACAUGAUCUGAGUUCAAACCGGUGUAAGCCAGGUUGGUUUCUAUCUUUAAGUUUUUAAAGUAUUUUAGUACGAGAGGACCAAAUAUUUGAUAAAUAAUUAUUUAUAGAUUGAAUUUUAUUAAUAU